AACGAAUGCUGGCGGCAUGCCUAACACAUGCAAGUCGAACGAGACCUUCGGGUCUAGUGGCGCACGGGUGCGUAACGCGUGGGAACCUGCCCUUAGGUUCGGAAUAACUCCCCGAAAGGGGUGCUAAUACCGGAUAAUGUCUUCGGACCAAAGAUUUAUCGCCUUUGGAUGGGCCCGCGUUGGAUUAGCUAGUUGGUAGGGUAAAAGCCUACCAAGGCGACGAUCCAUAGCUGGUCUGAGAGGAUGAUCAGCCACACUGGGACUGAGACACGGCCCAGACUCCUACGGGAGGCAGCAGUGGGGAAUAUUGGACAAUGGGCGAAAGCCUGAUCCAGCAAUGCCGCGUGAGUGAUGAAGGCCUUAGGGUUGUAAAGCUCUUUUACCCGGGAUGAUAAUGACAGUACCGUGAGAAUAAGCUCCGGCUAACUCCGUG
rnacentral:rRNA from 1 species